rnacentral:rRNA from 1 species
CCUACGGGAGGCAGCAGUGGGGAAUAUUGCACAAUGGGGGAAACCCUGAUGCAGCGAUGCCGCGGGGAGGAAGAAGGUUUUCGGAUUGUAAACUCCUUUUAUCAGGGACGAUAAUGACGGUACCUGAAGAAAAAGCUCCGGCUAACUACGUGCCAGCAGCCGCGGUAAUACGGAGGAUGCGAGCGUUAUCCGGAUUUAUUGGGUUUAAAGGGUGCGUAGGCGGAAUGCCAAGUCAGCGGUAAAAUCGCGGGGCUCAACCUCGCUCCGCCGUUGAAACUGGCGUUCUUGAGUGGGCGAGAAGUAUGCGGAAUGCGUGGUGUAGCGGUGAAAUGCAUAGAUAUCACGCAGAACUCCGAUUGCGAAGGCAGCAUACCGGCGCCCAACUGACGCUGAAGCACGAAAGCGUGGGUAUCAAACAGGAUUAGAUACCCCUGUAGUC